CCCCUCGGCCUCCAGCCCAACCGGACCCGGCACGCCCAGACGCAGCACCACAGUUUUGAAGGAUGACUCUCCAUCGACCCAGAUUUACACUGUGGAGGGGAAGGCAGAAUAAAGCUCACGGGGUGUAAUCACAAGAACAGCUGCUGACAAAGUCCAAGUGGCACCUGGAGGCUUUAACUGAGACCAUGACACCGGGCACUGCACAGACACAGAGUGAGAGACAGUCCCUGCCCCAAAGGUCUCAGUCUAAAUAGACCAAGGGUGGGAGGGGAAACUGAGGCACGACGAGGCAGCUAUGACAAUUUCCUGCAGUAUCCUUGACAAACCUUACUGAAUUAAGUGUAAGUAUCUUUGAAGUCCACUGGAGUAAAAGCAAGGGUGAUGUCGCCCCGGGAAGUGUUAUGAACUGCAAAGGACAAUCUUGAACAAUGGGCCAGACCAAAAAAGGACUUUUCCCAAGCGGUUUGCCCAGGGAAUAUCUAGUGGGAGGUGAAUGCAGAUUCUCACCCCUGGUUUUGCAAAAGCCCAGCCUUCUGAAGCUAUGCCCUAAGGAGGGAACCAUUGUCUGCUGACCACCUGUUCCUGGACUCCGGAGUUAAAGGAAACACUGACCUAUGCACGGGGGUGCUGAUCUUGAGCGAAGGCUGUUAUGAACGUGUAACCCUAGAAAAACCCUUUGGUGGGGUUUGAAGGACGGACUUUACCAGAACCCUCACUGGAGUUGGGGGAAGGGGGUGACCUCUGCAUGUGUGUAGGUUCUUCUGUUGUUUUGAUGG